ACCCCUUCUAACUUAAUCAUGUAUGUGCCCGAAUGACGAAGCUAAGAACGCAUCUCAGAAUCUGCGAACGGCUCCGUAUAUCUGUUAACACCCACCGCCCAACACCGCGGGUAUGCUGGAUACCCACGGUAAUUCUGUGGCUAAUACGUGUGAACCACCUAGGGCCCACCGGGCGUCAGCCCGGUGGGGCACGGACCUAGGUGAAGCCGCUCAACCAACGGCGGGGCCCCCCGGGGCCCUGUUGGCGGGAGUGCCGGCUAUCCGCACCUGGACCGCAGGGCUCUUAAGGUAAGUAUUUUUGGUUACUGCGGCCGGUGCGAUGGGCGCCAGACCUAUCAACUAUAUGCCCAGAGAACGCCUGGGCAGGGUGAUAACGGGUACAGAGGAUAAGGGUUCGA
rnacentral:rRNA from 1 species